CCUUAUGUACAACGUCUGCCUGUUGAUACCUGUACGAAAGAGACUUGUCGAUUUCUGGAGCAAACCAAUAGACGUGGAUUAGCCAUAACCGGAAGAGAUUUCUUUGUGGUGAACAGAAAAUUCCUAUUGGCGUUUCUAGGGGCCGCU